rnacentral:rRNA from 1 species
AGUGAACGCUGGCGGUAGGCCUAACACAUGCAAGUCGAACGGCAGCACAGUAAGAGCUUGCUCUUACGGGUGGCGAGUGGCGGACGUGUGAGGAAUACAUCGGAAUCUACUUUUUCGUGGGGGAUAACGUAGGGAAACUUACGCUAAUACCGCAUACGACCUACGGGUGAAAGCAGGGGAUCUUCGGACCUUGCGCGAUUGAAUGAGCCGAUGUCGGAUUAGCUAGUUGGCGGGGUAAAGGCCCACCAAGGCGACGAUCCGUAGCUGGUCUGAGAGGAUGAUCAGCCACACUGGAACUGAGACACGGUCCAGACUCCUACGGGAGGCAGCAGUGGGGAAUAUUGGACAAUGGGCGCAAGCCUGAUCCAGCCAUACCGCGUGGGUGAAGAAGGCCUUCGGGUUGUAAAGCCCUUUUGUUGGGAAAGAAAAGCAGCAGGCUAAUACCCCGCUGUUCUGACGGUACCCAAAGAAUAAGCACCGGCUAACUUCGUG